rnacentral:rRNA from 1 species
CCUACGGGAGGCAGUAGUGGGGGAUAUUGCACAAUGGGGGAAACCCUGAUGCAGCGACGCCGCGUGGGUGAAGAAGUAUUUCGGUAUGUAAAGCCCUAUCAGCAGGGAAGAAAGAAGACGGUACCUGACUAAGAAGCCCCGGCUAACUACGUGCCAGCAGCCGCGGUAAUACGUAGGGGGCGAGCGUUAUCCGGAUUCACUGGGUGUAAAGGGAGCGUAGACGGCCGUGCAAGCCAGGAGUGAAAGCCCGGGGCCCAACCCCGGGACUGCUCUUGGAACUGUGCGGCUGGAGUGCGGGAGGGGCAGGCGGAAUUCCUGGUGUAGCGGUGAAAUGCGUAGAUAUCAGGAGGAACACCGGCGGCGAAGGCGGCCUGCUGGACCGCGACUGACGUUGAGGCUCGAAAGCGUGGGGAGCGAACAGGAUUAGAUACCCCAGUAGUC